rnacentral:rRNA from 1 species
GCCGGGGCCGCACAAGCGGUGAGCAUGUGGUUUAAUUCGAAGCAACGCGAAGAACCUUACCAGGCCUUGACAUGCAGAGAACUUUCCAGAGAUGGAUUGGUGCCUUCGGGAACUCUGACACAGGUGCUGCAUGGCUGUCGUCAGCUCGUGUCGUGAGAUGUUGGGUUAGGUCCCGCAACGAGCGCAACCCUUGCCUUUAGUUGCCAGCAGUUCGGCUGGGCACUCUAAAGGGACUGCCGGUGUUAAACCGGAGGAAGGUGGGGAUGACGUCAAGUCCUCAUGGCCUUUAUGACCAGGGCUACACACGUACUACAAUGGCCGAUACAAAGGGCAGCGACACUGCGAGGUGAAGCCAAUCCCGUAAAAUCGGUCUCAGUCCGGAUUGGAGUCUGCAACUCGACUCCAUGAAGUUGGAAUCGCUAGUAAUCGUGGAUCAGCAUGCCACGGUGAAUACGUUCCCGGGCCUU